rnacentral:rRNA from 1 species
UGGGGAAUAUUGCACAAUGGGGGAAACCCUGAUGCAGCGACGCCGCGUGAGCGAAGAAGGUUUUCGAAUCGUAAAGCUCUGUCCUAUGGGAAGAUAAUGACGGUACCAUAGGAGGAAGCCCCGGCUAACUACGUGCCAGCAGCCGCGGUAAUACGUAGGGGGCAAGCGUUGUCCGGAAUCACUGGGCGUAAAGGGUUCGCAGGCGGAAAUGCAAGUCAGUUGUGAAAGGCAGAGGCUCAACCUCUGUAAGCAAUUGAAACUGUAUUUCUUGAAAUGUGGAGAGGCAGGUCGAAGUCCUAGUGUAGCGGUGAAAUGCGUAGAUAUUAGGUAGAUUACCGGUGGCGAAGGCGACUUGCUGGACACAAACUGACGCUGAGGAACGAAAGCGUCGGUAGCAAACAGG